rnacentral:rRNA from 1 species
GACGAGGGGUCCAAGCGUUGUUCGGAAUCAUUGGGCGUAAAGCGGGUGUAGGCGGCUCUAUAAGUCAGAAGUGAAAGCCCCGGGCUUAACCCGGGAAGUGCUUUUGAUACUGCAGAGCUUGAAUGUGGGAGAGGGUAGUGGAAUUCCAGGUGUAGUGGUGAAAUGCGUAGAGAUCCGGAGGAACACCCGUGGCGAAGGCGGCCCCCUGGGCCGCGCCUGACGCUGAGACGCGAAAGCGCGGGGAGCGAACGGG